UCACCCAUCACCUCAUUGAAGACGCUUGGUCAGCCAGAGAGAGAUGGAGAGAUAGAUCUACAGCCUUUAGUAAAUCCUGCAGCCGGAACUCAGGAAGUUCUGGACUCCAUAGACUUCCAAACUACUGGGUGCCUCGUCCAUCACCUCGUUGAAGAUGUUUGGUCAGCCAGAGAGACAAAGGGCAGGGAGAUAUGGAGCCUUCAAUAAAUCCUGCAGUGAGGUACGCAGCACUUUCCUGACUCAGUAGGCUUCCAAGCUGCUGGGUGUCUCGUCCAUCACCUCAUUGAAGAUGUUUGGUCAGCCAGAGAGAGACAAAGGGCAGGGAGAUCUGGAGCCUUCAAUAAAUCCUGCAGUGACGUCAGGUCACUCACAGUGCACAGAGCAGGGAGCAAUGAGAGGGCUCCAUACAUGGGCUAACAAGACAUGACAUAGACACAGUGUUGGAGGGGGAGCACAGUACGACACACCCCAGGCUCAAUGCCCACACCUAUUGUACGUUCUGUUGUACUAAGACUCAGUAGGCUGCAACAAUGUAUCUAUGGCAUGUCUUGGUGACUAGUGUCUUCAAUAAUUUGUAACUCCUAUAACAGUUCCUGUCUCUGUAACCUCCUUUCUUCCCGAUA